CUUUUCUACCAGCAAUUUUGUUCAGAUUUACAAUAAUAGCACUUUUCCUAAACGAAAAUCUGAGUGGGUAUGAACAUUAGGGAGGUAAUUUUUCGCAGAUUCUUCUAGUGAAUCGAAAUUUGUCUUAUUAUAAAUUAAACAAUGAAUAAUAUAUUCACCGUUCACUUUUUACGAUAGCGUAAAUAAAUAAAAAAAAAAAAAACUUAUGUUUAUCAAACCUAGAUACCACCCCAUAUAUUUUAUCCUGAAGGGGAAGCAGAAUGGCUAUUUCUUAUGGACGAAUAUGAUGUAUUAGACUGCAGGGAAGCUAGACAAAAAUAUAAGGAUUAGGUUUAAUGGAUUUUCGUUUUGAAAACAGAUUUUGAUUGAUUAUAAUAAGUAUAACAGAUUCUGAUAGAGGUGAUUAUAUUUUUUUUUAUUUAUGUUCUUCGUUGUAACACAGAGCAAUGGAAUAUCUAUUUUGGAAUAACUAAAGUCACCUGCUUCAAAACCUAUACACCUCUUCAAUCAAUCAAUUCAAUUCCGUCAAUUCCGUUUUAAUAUUAAAAUUCGUCAAACCCAAACCUAGUAUUGACUAGUUUUUCAAUCCGAAUACCAUUUUUUUUUCUCUUUUUUUUUCAACGACUGUAAUUUCCUACAAAAAAAUAUUCGCUUGUCUAAAAUUAGGUAAUAUUUAAAAAGUUUUUAUCUUUACCGUCCGUCGUCUAUUUAGGGUGUUAACAUAUUAUGUUUGACCCGCCGCCGUUUAGGUCUUUAGAUUGUUCGACAAACUUCGAGAUUAUAAAAAUACUACAAUAUUGUUUAAAUUACCCUCGUAAAACCCUGAAAAUUUAUUUAUUUAAAAUUAUUCGUGUUAAUAAAUACGACAGACAAAUAAAAGUAACGCAAUUAUCUAUUUGUUGGCAACACAGUGGCGCACUGUUAAGAUGUUAUCAAUUAAUGUAACCGUAUGUGUACUCUCGAGGGAGACGAAUGUAGAUUGUAUUGGUGUCGCAGGGAAAAUGGAAAAAGGCUAAAAAUUAAAAUAACUAAAAUGUGUGGUCGAUGAGUGAAUAUACUUUUGUAAACCACGCGCCUUCUCAAAAUUCCAGUAAAUAUAUGAACUUGUGUGUUUUAUAACAAUUUGUAAUGUAAUGUCUGAAGUUCCCCUCCUGUAAUAAAUUUGACACCUACUUAAUAAGAGGCCGUCACGAAAACGGCUUUGAAAUCUGAUUUUAGAAAUGCGAUGAGUUUAGACAGUAACGUGUUGAUAAAUUUGCCACCCGGGGGAUCAAAUAUUUAGUUAUAUUGAGUUCGUCUCCUUGACUACUCUCCUGCUAAACCUUAUUAUAUUUCCGAAAAAACAAUUAAUAAUAAUCAUAAA